rnacentral:miRNA from 1 species
UAAGUUUUUCCACUAUAUCUGUG